rnacentral:lncRNA from 1 species
UUUUUAAUUUAAAAAUUUUUAAAUUUAAAUUUUGCUCUGUGGGUGUUUAAGAGGUGAAGAGCUAAAGACGCAAAGCCCCAGCCUAGGGCAGCUUACGACCACGCCAGUCGGGUGUUUUUCUACGGUUUGUUCCGAGACACUGGAAGGCUGGAGGUCAUGUGCUGUGUCUAAUGUUUAGCAAAAUCUUAGCGAAACAAGGGCGGUAGGCAUGGGGGUUGGGGGGUUUAGAUACGAGAAAGAGGGAGACGGCUGGAAGAGCUGAAUCACUUAAAAAGUCUUUCCUGAAAAGAAAGGUUGACCGCUGUAGUCAGAGGAGUGAAAUGUUGAGAGAAACAGGGAUGAUUAACCACGAACAGCAAGCCAGAUUGAGUCAGAAAAAUGAUCUCUCAGCCUGAAAUUCUGUCUCCAACAAUGGCAUCAGGAGAUGGUUACUUGCCCAGGGUGAGCUUAGUUAUGAAGCUUACGGAUAUUGAUCGUAUUACUCGACAAGAGCACCCAGAUUCAUCUUCUUUUGGAGUUGUUGCUUGCUCAGCACACAUGUGUUGAGUUCCUGCUAACUUGACCAGCACUGCCUGCUUGCUAAGGUUACAAAGAAGCUACUCCAGGAUGUGCCCCACCAAAAUGAAGGAAAGAAGCAAGAGAAAGGAAGACAAUGGAUACAGGAUACAGGCAAAGGGAGCUCCCAGGAGAAAGGGAAGGGAGAGCCUGGGUGGUGAGUGUGCACCUGGUGUCCAGGACCAUCUGUCUGGUCCACACAUGUCACAAGAUGUGAGGAAAGACUUCUGUAAGAAGAUGAAAAUGAAAGAAUUCCUGAUAUGUUUGAGCAUUUUAAGAAAAAGGUUAAACAAAUUGUUGGAGAGUUUGGGGUUAAAGUAAUGAUAGUAUGCAGACUAUUUGACAAAACAAAACCAACUCCAAGGAAACAAAAGUUUGAGCCAAAAAGAAAAGAAUUCCAGUCUACAUAUGAUAGAACUUAGCUCUUGUAACCUUUCUGCGUCUACUAUAAAAUAGACACCAAGUAUUAAUCCAAACAGACAUGACCUAAUGGUAUUGAGUGGACCAAGAGAUGGGAAGGGGGAUUGCGUGAUGGGCAGGGAGCAGGUGGGGAAAGAAAGCUAUGCUCUUACAUGAGAAGUCAUGGAAAAUGCCUACACCUGAAAAAUCAGAUUAGCAAUAUAAACAAAUGUAGCACACUUAAAGUUGUGAAAGUAAACACCAAAAACGUCAAUCAACCAACUCAUGGAACAAAUGAAAUAAAAUAGCCAGAAACGCUGAAUAUGGCUGUUUGAAGUGGGGAGAAAGAUGCUGGGGGGAGGCAUGAGGGACUGUUAUUUUCACGAAAAAAAAUAUAAGCUGGAUCCUAUAAACUAUGUGC